rnacentral:piRNA from 1 species
UGUGCCCAGACUCAUUGGACAAAGUCCUCU